rnacentral:lncRNA from 1 species
UUUAGAAAAAAAUAGUCUUUUAUUUUGAUAAACAUGUAGAUAGCAGUAACUAUAAAGGCUAGUAUACUUAAUAUGUACAUUAUAUCUUUUAAAGGAGAAUCUGGGGCAUUUCCUUGUGUUAUAUACAAUAACAGAAUCAUGGUCCCUUCAGGUUAUUGUUCUUUUGUUUUAAUACAUACAUCUUGAGUUUCUUCUGCAUCCUUGUUCUCCUUGACAUCAGCCACUCUGUCAAAUCCUCUGGAGCAAGGACUAACUCCUUACAUCUGUGUGUCCCUUUUUAUUUCAGAGGUGCAGCCUUUGACUGCUUGUGAGUAAGAAUCUGAGACUGUCUUUAUGUCUCUCACACAAGGCUUCCAGGAAGAAAUGCUUACUCUGUAUUCCUAAGUUUCUUUUCUAAGAGUUAUUUUCCUGCAGAAAUUCUCCUUUUAUCCAAAUCCUGGUCAAGCAGGUGUCAAAAGGUCUGAUGCUGUUAGUCAGGGACAUCAAUUCUCUCUUUUCACAUCUCAUUACAGAG